UACCAGCACCCCGAGUGGUCGGGACGUUUAUUGGGCCUAAAGCAUCCGUAGCCGGUUCUACAAGUCUUCCGUUAAAUCCACCUGCUCAACGGAUGGGCUGCGGAAGAUACUAUGGAGCUAGGAGGCGGGAGAGGCAAGCGGUACUCGAUGGGUAGGGGUAAAAUCCGUUGAUCCAUUGAAGACCACCAGUGGCGAAGGCGGCUUGCCAGAACGCGCUCGACGGUGAGGGAUGAAAGCUGGGGGAGCAAACCGG
rnacentral:rRNA from 1 species